CAGACUCCCAAGCACCUGCCCAUCCUACUCCAUAGCCCAGCCACCCACUCAUCUACCAUACAUAUGCCCAUCCCAGUAAGCAAGCCAACCACUAGAAUUUGACUGGCAUGCACCUGUGACUUACAUAAACCAGACCUCUACAUGGCCUACAUGUCUUCAUUUUGCUGAAGACUGCCCAUCAUCCUAGCCUGUUAUCUGUGAUAAAGCACACUGAAGUUAGGUUUGGAAUGCAUCCUUAUCAUGAAUGCUCUACACCUCCACCUCCAUCUCCCACAACCUAGGUAACAGCUUUGAGACUCACUAAAAGUUGGUAAGUUAUGUAAGGAAUUUCUAAAUUAAGUUUUAUACUAAA